ACUAGAGAUGUUAAUGAUGGGUUA
rnacentral:siRNA from 1 species